GUAAAAAAAAAACACUGGUUUUUGUGUUUAAGGUUUGAUUGUUUGUUUUAUUUAAAAAAAUUAUAAAAAAAUAAAAAGACAAGUCACACAUAAAAUAUUAAUCAUGUUUUAUCAUCUAACAACAAUAAAAAUACUAAUUAUAACAAUUUUCAUAUAAAACGGACAGUCAAACGUUGGACACGGAAAUUCAGGGUUUAUCUUUUU
rfam:Oryza sativa (indica cultivar-group) chromosome 2, whole genome shotgun sequence.